rnacentral:rRNA from 1 species
AGAUUAAGUUAUUAAGGGCGCACGGUGGAUGCCUUGGCACUAGAAGCCGAUGAAGGACGUUACUAACAACGAUAUGCUUUGGGGAGCUGUAAGUAAGCUUUGAUCCAGAGAUUUCCGAAUGGGGAAACCCAGCAUGAGUUAUGUCAUGUUAUCGAUAUGUGAAUACAUAGCAUAUCAGAAGGCACACCCGGAGAACUGAAACAUCUUAGUACCCGGAGGAAGAGAAAGAAAAUUCGAUUCCCUUAGUAGCGGCGAGCGAAACGGGAAGAGCCCAAACCAACAAGCUUGCUUGUUGGGGUUGUAGGACACUCUAUACGGAGUUACAAAGGACGACAUUAGACGAAUCAUCUGGAAAGAUGAAUCAAAGAAGGUAAUAAUCCUGUAGUCGAAAAUGUUGUCUCUCUUGAGUGGAUCCUGAGUACGACGGAGCACGUGAAAUUCCGUCGGAAUCUGGGAGGACCAUCUCCUAAGGCUAAAUACUCUCUAGUGACCGAUAGUGAACCAGUACCGUGAGGGAAAGGUGAAAAGCACCCCGGAAGGGGAGUGAAAUAGAACCUGAAACCGUGUGCUUACAAGUAGUCAGAGCCCGUUAAUGGGUGAUGGCGUGCCUUUUGUAGAAUGAACCGGCGAGUUACGAUUUGAUGCAAGGUUAAGCAGUAAAUGUGGAGCCGUAGCGAAAGCGAGUCUGAAUAGGGCGUUUAGUAUUUGGUCGUAGACCCGAAACCAGGUGAUCUACCCUUGGUCAGGUUGAAGUUCAGGUAACACUGAAUGGAGGACCGAACCGACUUACGUUGAAAAGUGAGCGGAUGAACUGAGGGUAGCGGAGAAAUUCCAAUCGAACCUGGAGAUAGCUGGUUCUCUCCGAAAUAGCUUUAGGGCUAGCCUCAAGUGAUGAUUAUUGGAGGUAGAGCACUGUUUGGAUGAGGGGCCCCUCUCGGGUUACCGAAUUCAGACAAACUCCGAAUGCCAAUUAAUUUAACUUGGGAGUCAGAACAUGGGUGAUAAGGUCCGUGUUCGAAAGGGAAACAGCCCAGACCACCAGCUAAGGUCCCAAAAUAUAUGUUAAGUGGAAAAGGAUGUGGCGUUGCCCAGACAACUAGGAUGUUGGCUUAGAAGCAGCCAUCAUUUAAAGAGUGCGUAAUAGCUCACUAGUCGAGUGACACUGCGCCGAAAAUGUACCGGGGCUAAACAUAUUACCGAAGCUGUGGAUUGUCCUUUGGACAAUGGUAGGAGAGCGUUCUAAGGGCGUUGAAGCAUGAUCGUAAGGACAUGUGGAGCGCUUAGAAGUGAGAAUGCCGGUGUGAGUAGCGAAAGACGGGUGAGAAUCCCGUCCACCGAUUGACUAAGGUUUCCAGAGGAAGGCUCGUCCGCUCUGGGUUAGUCGGGUCCUAAGCUGAGGCCGACAGGCGUAGGCGAUGGAUAACAGGUUGAUAUUCCUGUACCACCUAUAAUCGUUUUAAUCGAUGGGGGGGACGCAGUAGGAUAGGCGAAGCGUGCGAUUGGAUUGCACGUCUAAGCAGUAAGGCUGAGUAUUAGGCAAAUCCGGUACUCGUUAAGGCUGAGCUGUGAUGGGGAGAAGACAUUGUGUCUUCGAGUCGUUGAUUUCACACUGCCGAGAAAAGCCUCUAGAUAGAAAAUAGGUGCCCGUACCGCAAACCGACACAGGUAGUCAAGAUGAGAAUUCUAAGGUGAGCGAGCGAACUCUCGUUAAGGAACUCGGCAAAAUGACCCCGUAACUUCGGGAGAAGGGGUGCUCUUUAGGGUUAACGCCCAGAAGAGCCGCAGUGAAUAGGCCCAAGCGACUGUUUAUCAAAAACACAGGUCUCUGCUAAACCGUAAGGUGAUGUAUAGGGGCUGACGCCUGCCCGGUGCUGGAAGGUUAAGAGGAGUGGUUAGCUUCUGCGAAGCUACGAAUCGAAGCCCCAGUAAACGGCGGCCGUAACUAUAACGGUCCUAAGGUAGCGAAAUUCCUUGUCGGGUAAGUUCCGACCCGCACGAAAGGCGUAACGAUUUGGGCACUGUCUCAACGAGAGACUCGGUGAAAUCAUAGUACCUGUGAAGAUGCAGGUUACCCGCGACAGGACGGAAAGACCCCGUGGAGCUUUACUGUAGCCUGAUAUUGAAAUUCGGCACAGCUUGUACAGGAUAGGUAGGAGCCUUUGAAACGUGAGCGCUAGCUUACGUGGAGGCGCUGGUGGGAUACUACCCUAGCUGUGUUGGCUUUCUAACCCGCACCACUUAUCGUGGUGGGAGACAGUGUCAGGCGGGCAGUUUGACUGGGGCGGUCGCCUCCUAAAAGGUAACGGAGGCGCUCAAAGGUUCCCUCAGAAUGGUUGGAAAUCAUUCAUAGAGUGUAAAGGCAUAAGGGAGCUUGACUGCGAGACCUACAAGUCGAGCAGGGUCGAAAGACGGACUUAGUGAUCCGGUGGUUCCGCAUGGAAGGGCCAUCGCUCAACGGAUAAAAGCUACCCCGGGGAUAACAGGCUUAUCUCCCCCAAGAGUUCACAUCGACGGGGAGGUUUGGCACCUCGAUGUCGGCUCAUCGCAUCCUGGGGCUGUAGUCGGUCCCAAGGGUUGGGCUGUUCGCCCAUUAAAGCGGUACGCGAGCUGGGUUCAGAACGUCGUGAGACAGUUCGGUCCCUAUCCGUCGUGGGCGUAGGAAAUUUGAGAGGAGCUGUCCUUAGUACGAGAGGACCGGGAUGGACAUACCUCUGGUGUACCAGUUGUCGUGCCAACGGCAUAGCUGGGUAGCUAUGUGUGGACGGGAUAAGUGCUGAAAGCAUCUAAGCAUGAAGCCCCCCUCAAGAUGAGAUUUCCCAACUUCGGUUAUAAGAUCCCUCAAAGAUGAUGAGGUUAAUAGGUUCGAGGUGGAAGCAUGGUGACAUGUGGAGCUGACGAAUACUAAUCGAUCGAAGACUUAAUCAAAUU